AGAUAUAGAAUUUCUUGUAAAAUGUUUGUUAUAUGUAAAUUUUAUACAUUCAAUUGAUCAUAAGUGGCAGUUGUUACAUUAACAUUCUUUUUAAAUUCUAUUCAAAGAAUCAUGGAAGACAAAUGUAUUACGGUUUCAACAAAAAUAUGAAGCAGCACAACUGUUUUCAACUUUGAUAAUAAUAAGAAAUGUUUCUUGAGCAGCAAAUCAGCAUAUUAGAAUGAUUUCUGAAAGAUCAUGUGACACUGAAGACUGGAGUAAUGAUGCUCAAAAUUCAGCUUUGAUCACAGGAAUAAAUUACCCAACCAAUGUUAUAUGGUUAUGCAGCCUUGUACAACUUGAUCAAUUAAAAUAUUUUGUGAUAAAUGUUUCAGGUUUUAGGGGUACAACUGGGAGCCAAACUUAUUGGAGCUGGCCAUUAGGUGGCAGUAUAUACUUAUUUAUCUAUAUGUGAUUUUUCCAGAACACACAUUCAUUGUAACAAAGGUGGACCACAAACCUUAUUAGAACAGACAACACUGGGAACAACAUAUCCAUUGUUGCUGACUCCAUGGAAAGAGAGGACGAAGUUGUAAAAAAAGUGUGGUAUCACUUCUUUACACUGCACCGUAUAACACAGAGCAGAGGUGUCCAAACUCGGUCUCCUGGAAGGGCCACUGUCCUGCAGAGUUUAGCUCAAACUUGCUUCACCACACCUGCCUGGAAGUUUCUAGUGUGCCAUUUAACAAAAAGUUAAUAUCAAUAACUUAGGCCUUGUUCGGGUAAAUGUUUUGUUUGCCUUUUGCAUUUAGAUCUUUUAUUUUUUUUUGACAGUUAGAAUGAUGUUGAAAAUAUUAAUUGAGAUAUAACAUCUAAUGACCGGCCACAUAUUUUGUAUCAUAUUGCAGCAUUUAUUCAUGCAUUUGUGAAGAUCUUAACACACACACAAAAAAAAAAAAAAAUAGAAGAUAAGCUGCUGCAUUAAUGGAUUGUUCUAAUUCUCUUAUUUCCUAUUCCAUCCGCAUUUUAAAUACUGGAUGAUAGAUGUCUGUGAGGUGUGGAGUUUUGGCUCCUUCUCAUUUUGGCAGCGACUCCAGACUAUAAGCAGGAGCCCAAAUAACGCAGCACUGAAAUGAAAAUCAAUGCAGGAGGAAACACUGCCACUGCCAGAGGGAGGUGUCACCUGCUUAAUGUGGAAUUUCAGAUUGGCCUGGCCAGUGGAAGGAGAUCACGAACUCACCCAGGAUGAAGCCGCACGUGGGCAGAGGGUGAAUGACCGUCUAUAGAGCUGAUAUGAACUAACAUCCUGUCCCUGCUGACUUUUGUUCAGUUUUUCUGUCUUUAGCUGAUUAGCCAAGAGCAAGAGGGAGACAGAAGCACAGAUGGCUAACUGUGAUAUAUUUGAGCUGCAUAGCAGAGCCUGUCUUUAGUGUCCAGGGUCAGCCAUCUCUCAGUUUUUCUCUCUUUAUUUAUCUCCCUCCAUAUCUCCCCACUCCUUCUUCCCACUAUGACAUGAAUCUAUAUGGGUAUUCAUGCAGGAUGCUCAGUGUCUGUCUAUAUAACAUUUGUAACACUUUACAAUUAGGUUCAUUAUUUAAACAUUAGUUAAUAACUAACAUGAAACAUUUAUUUU